GCAGCGCGGGGCCCGUCUGCCGCCAUCAUGCUGGCGCUGCUGUCGCGGUUGCUGGACUGGUUCCGCUCGCUCUUCUGGAAGGAGGAGAUGGAGCUGACGCUGGUGGGGCUGCAGUACUCGGGCAAGACCACCUUCGUCAACGUCAUCGCGUCAGGCCAGUUCAGUGAAGAUAUGAUCCCUACGGUGGGCUUCAACAUGAGGAAGGUUACCAAGGGUAAUGUCACAAUAAAGAUCUGGGAUAUAGGAGGGCAGCCACGGUUCCGAAGCAUGUGGGAGAGAUAUUGCAGAGGAGUCAAUGCUAUUGUGUACAUGGUAGAUGCUGCAGAUCGUGAAAAGAUAGAAGCCUCUCGAAAUGAGCUGCAUAAUCUUCUAGACAAACCACAAUUACAAGGAAUCCCUGUUUUAGUACUUGGAAACAAGAGGGACCUUCCAAAUGCCUUGGAUGAAAAACAGCUAAUUGAAAAGAUGAAUCUGGCUGCAAUUCAAGAUAGAGAAAUUUGCUGCUAUUCAAUUUCUUGCAAAGAAAAGGAUAAUAUAGACAUUGGAGGCUGUUUGCAGUCUGCUCUCCAAGGAACAGAAGGCUCCAUGUUCCACCCACUUGGAGUUUAUUAGGCAGCCAGUUAGUUGAGGAAUAAGGCCGUUUAUGACUUCACGUGACAAGUGCUGUGACUAGGGACAGACUGUUACAUUGUCAGCAUGUGGGAAGCUAUGUUGCCUGGUGGCAAUUACUAUGACAUCUCGCUUCACCAUCUGGGUAGGACCUGACCAGAACAUAGUGACCAAAUGAGCAACUUGGUUUCAUAUUAUAAAGAUAUCACACUUCAGUGGCUUAUUCAGCAUUCAAAAUCUCGAAGAAGUUGAAGUCUUCCUGGAGUCUCCUGUACCAGUUGGCCAUAAUCUCAAUUGUCCACUCCCUCCAUGAUGAAAUACUACCCAAUAGUCCUGUAUCAAGAAAUUGCCUUUUUCACAGUUCAUUUCCCAUGUGCACUGCUGAAGACUUGUAUUUUUAUUCUGUCACAGAAUGAACUAGAGUUGUCAUGAUAAAGUCAGCAAAAAGGUUUGUUUUACAGCCAUCUAAACAGUGGGGGAAGCAGGGGGGAGCCUUUUUAAAAUUAUCUCUGCCAUAUUUGAAUCGAAGAAAUAGUACAUUUCUGUUCUGGUUUUUCAUGGCCAGGCUUUUAUAUUUGAUUUUUCAGCAAAUGUUAAUAGAAUGUUUUAUUUCUAGUGUUUAGUGGCUUGAGGAUGCUGACACUGCACAGCAUUGAGAUUCUAACGCCACACGUGGUAGUUGGAGAACCUUAAGGCGUGACUUUAUGUGGGAUAUUAACUUAUUGUUAUCUCACAAAUGCAUGUGGUGUGUGUGUAUAUAUAGUAAGCCUGAGAAUUGGAAACUGUCUGCAAAGGGGGGGGGGAAAGCACAAGGCACUAGAUCAGCAUCACUAGUCUUCUACAGCUGUGAGAUGAUCCAGUCAUUUUAAACACCACUUUUUUCCAAUAAGUUAGAAAACCCAAAUAGUUAAACAGUUUGUAUCAAGAUCAUUAUUUGUAUCUCUCUUUCAUUUUGUUUUAAAACUUGCAUAGGGAAUGGGAAAUGCAUUUGCUUUGUCAAAAGAUGUCAAUGGUUAUGUAUUCCAGCAGACUAAACACAUUUGCUAGGAAUGUAAGACUGCUCAAAUGCACGUUGUUUUUUUCUUUUUGUUUUUUUUUCUUGUCUCCGGAUGCUUUAAGUUUAUCUCUGUCUGAAACACCAGAAUGUGAAGUCUGAGCUGCUGCAUGACACUCAAAUUACAGCGGGUUUGGGUCUUUCUUUUAAUCAAGUCCAUACUGUCGACUUUCAGCACAAUAUCUGUGUAACUGUCUAGUGUGUGUGUGUGUCUUUCUCAUGGAAUAGCUGGGCACAGUUUCAUCUGGUGCUGGGAAACAACUCUAAGCCUGCCUGUUUUUUUUUUUUUUUUUUCUCAAUGUAAUCAAGUGCAAAGUCUGCAGGCGGCAAGAUGAAAUGUUUCACUGUGUCUUGAAGCACAAGAGAGCCAAUGAAUUGAUCCUGUUUCUUGAUUUAGCUUCUGUCGUAUAAAGAAAUAUGUAUAAACUAAAGAUUGUAAUGUUUUUGUAGCUUUACUUUCUCGUUGACUUCAAUAUGUUUAAAGGGACAGACUUGUUAAGACUGGUUUGUUCAUACAACAAUGUCAAUGUAGUCCAGUGUAGUAUAUACAAAUAUAUGGUACACCUGCUUGUGUUUCUUCACUGUGUAACUUUAAAGUAGCACCUAAAUGUAGAUUUAGGCAAUGUAUUUUUUCAGAGACUUUAGUUGAAAACACUUGAGUCCGCUCUGCGUGUGUGUACAAGACAAACCAGUUUUUAAUUUAGACUGUCAUGGCCUUACUGUUCUGUACAAACUACUGCACUGUUGCACAGACAUUACAUGUUGCCUCCAUUUACAAACUAGGCUUGCAUUUUAACUUUUUUUGUCCACUUUUAGUCCUGAGGCAUGAUUUCAAUUAAUCCCAUACUCUUGUUGGUGCUGUAGAGAAGGGUAUAUUAACUUGCUGCUGUAGUGAGUAGUUUGCCAUGAACUACUACAGUUACUUUUAUUUAGCAACUUUGCUUGUGCCUAAAAUAAGGAAACUGAAUUAGAAUGUGUGAGUCUACAUGGGGACCAGGUCACUGAGUUAACUGGCUAAUAGCUGAACUUGAUGUGUUUGGUGUGUAUCUACUUCACUGCUUUUAGCAUUUAUGGCAUCCAAACACUACCAACUGUUAACCUUCACAUUAACCUCUGCAUGUGAACAACUUAUACAAUUAUUGAACUUUGUAAAUAAGUGAAUUUUUUUUUAUUUAGGUGGAUGCAUAUUGUUGGUUUAUUGCUCUUCAGCUUUAUUCAAUAAACUUAACAUUUUGAGGGUUGUAUUGACA